AUUGAACGCUGGCGGCAGGCCUAACACAUGCAAGUCGAGCGGAUGAAGGGAGCUUGCUCCUGGAUUCAGCGGCGGACGGGUGAGUAAUGCCUAGGAAUCUGCCUGGUAGUGGGGGAUAACGUCCGGAAACGGGCGCUAAUACCGCAUACGUCCUGAGGGAGAAAGUGGGGGAUCUUCGAACUCACCGCUUUCAGAUGACCCUAGGUCGGAUUAGCUAGUUGGUGGGGUAAAGGCCUACCAAGGCGACGAUCCGUAACUGGUCUGAGAGGAUGAUCAGUCACACUGGAACUGAGACACGGUCCAGACUCCUACGGGAGGCAGCAGUGGGGAAUAUUGGACAAUGGGCGAAAGCCUGAUCCAGCCAUGCCGCGUGUGUGAAGAAGGUCUUCGGAUUGUAAAGCACUUUAAGUUGGGAGGAAGGGCAGUAAGUUAAUACCUUGCUGUUUUGACGUUACCAACAGAAUAAGCACCGGCUAACUUCGUG
rnacentral:rRNA from 1 species